rnacentral:pre_miRNA from 10 species
AAAAUUAAAAAUUAGACUUUCUCUUCCUGGUUCCUAGCAGAGUCAGGAAAAGCUUUGUUGAGAGGGCGGGGUGAAAAAAACU